CAAUGGAGCAUAAUUUAUAACAAACUCAUUUAUCAAUAAUAAAACUCUUUACUGUCCACCUACCUCAGUGAGAUUCAUGAAAACAAUUACAUCAUAAAUAUCAUAAGAUCACGCACACUCUACAACAUAACACAUAUCAUGCUUUUAUAUUUCAAUCAUCAGGCAAAAAGUUUCCUCUUUUAUCAGCCUACUAGUAUCCAUGGGGAUCCAUAGGGGGUCUCCGCUACACGUGAACCAUUCACAUUAAUAACUUAAUUCCAGGGCCGUCCCCAUACCCUGUCCGGUAUGG
rnacentral:lncRNA from 1 species